GAAAUAAAAAGGGAAAAUAAAGCCAAAAUUGACUCAUCUUUUUCAUGGAGGCCAAAAUUAGCAUGGGGGAAGCCAUGGCUAGGGUUUUCAAGCUUUCCAAGCUCAAUAUGUCGCAGAUGUUAGCUCGAGUUGGAGGUCGCCGGAGGUUAAAUCACACUAUCAAACUAUUGAUCGAUAUAUAAAGGUUUUAAAGUAUUUUUAAGUCUUUGGCAUGUAUGGGGACUUGUUUAAUUAUUAUUAAGUUGCUAGGAGUUGGCCUAAAAUACUGACCUAUGUUAUUUAAAGGUCUCUAUUGUAUAAAGUCAUUUAAUGUAGAUAGUCUUGAAUAUGUUUGAAAAGUUUAAAAUUGAUGAAA